CCUACGGGAGGCAGCAGUGGGGAAUCUUGCGCAAUGGGCGAAAGCCUGACGCAGCCAUGCCGCGUGAAUGAUGAAGGUCUUAGGAUUGUAAAAUUCUUUCACCGAGGACGAUAAUGACGGUACUCGGAGAAGAAGCCCCGGCUAACUUCGUGCCAGCAGCCGCGGUAAUACGAAGGGGGCUAGCGUUGCUCGGAAUUACUGGGCGUAAAGGGAGCGUAGGCGGAUAGUUUAGUCAGAGGUGAAAGCCCAGGGCUCAACCUUGGAAUUGCCUUUGAUACUGGCUAUCUUGAGUACGGAAGAGGUAUGUGGAACUCCGAGUGUAGAGGUGAAAUUCGUAGAUAUUCGGAAGAACACCAGUGGCGAAGGCGACAUACUGGUCCGUUACUGACGCUGAGGCUCGAAAGCGUGGGGAGCAAACAGGAUUAGAUACCCUGGUAGUCCACGCUGUAACGAUGAGUGCUAGUUGUCGGCGAUGCAUGCAUGUUCGGUUGGUACGCGAGCUAACGACAUUAAGACGACGUCCGCCGUCGGGGAGGUACGGGUCGGCGAAGUAAGUUAAAACGUUAAAAGGUUAAAGUUAGUUACGGCGUGAGGACGUUGCCGACGGACGACGACGAGGGGAGGUUAGG
rnacentral:rRNA from 1 species